rnacentral:tRNA from 1 species
GCCGAAGUAGCACAAUUGGCAGUGCAUCCGAUUUGUAAUCGGAAGGUUGUGGGUUCAAAUCCCACUUUCGGCUCCA